UUACCUACGGGACGCAGCAGUCGGGAAUAUUGCGCAAUGGAGGAAACUCUGACGCAGUGACGCCGCGUAUAGGAAGAAGGUUUUCGGAUUGUAAACUAUUGUCGUGAGGGAAGAAGAUGACAGUACCUCAGGAGGAAGCUCCGGCUAACUAUGUGCCAGCAGCCGCGGUAAUACGUAGGGGGCAAGCGUUAUCCGGAAUCACUGGGUGUAAAGGGAGCGUAGACGGCUGUGCAAGCCUGAAGUGAAAGGCGGGGGCCCAACCCCUGGACUGCUUUGGGAACUGUACGGCUGGAGUGCAGGAGAGG
rnacentral:rRNA from 1 species